rnacentral:rRNA from 1 species
GUCGAACGAGAAAGGGGAGCAAUCCCUGAGUAGAGUGGCGUACGGGUGAGUAACACGUGGGUAAUCUGCCCUUUGGUGGGGAAUAACCCUGGGAAACCGGGGCUAAUACCGCAUAAGUCCGAGAGGAGAAAGCAGCAAUGCGCCGAAGGAGGAGCCCGCGGCCGAUUAGCUAGUUGGUAGGGUAAAAGCCUACCAAGGCAAAGAUCGGUAGCCGGCCUGAGAGGGCACACGGCCACACUGGCACUGAAACACGGGCCAGACUCCUACGGGAGGCAGCAGUGGGGAAUCUUGCACAAUGGGGGAAACCCUGAUGCAGCGACGCCGCGUGAGCGAUGAAGCCCUUCGGGGUGUAAAGCUCUUUCGGCAGGGAAGAUGAUGACGGUACCUGCAGAAGCAGCUGCGGCUAACUACGUGCCAGCAGCCGCGGUAAUACGUAGGCAGCAAGCGUUGUUCGGAGUUACUGGGCGUAAAGGGUGUGUAGGCGGUUUGGUAAGUCUGGUGUGAAAUCUCCCGGCUCAACUGGGAGGGUGCGCCGGAAACUGCCGGACUCGAGUGCGGGAGAGGAGAGUGGAAUUCCUGGUGUAGCGGUGAAAUGCGUAGAUAUCAGGAGGAACACCGGUGGUGUAGACGGCUCUCUGGACCGUAACUGACGCUGA